GGCCCCUUCGUCUAGUGGCCUAGGACACCAGGUUUUCAUCCUGGCAACACGGGUUCGAUUCCCGUAGGGGUCACCA
rnacentral:tRNA from 1 species